AGAGCUCUUGGCUCAGCCCACAAUGUCCACAGUUGUUUUCAACUGAGACUGAGCUGAUAAGGGGAUUUCCUUUCAAGUGGAAAAGCAUAAACUAUAUUUAUAUGCAGAUAAUUUCCUAUUUGUUGGGUUUAGCUUAACAGGCUGAAUUUCUGGCCUGUCUCUCCAGUGCUCUCCGACCACAUGAAAGAUAUUCACAAUUGUCUGGGUGGGAGUUGUUUUGCCAGAAGCUGGAGAGAUGCCACAGUGCAGCUGCUGUGGAAGGCAGAGGUAGAAGGACAUAGCCAGUCCUCCUUACUCUGCUUUUUCUGUAAGGAGCUAACACACACCACAGCACCUGCUUAGCAUUUGGUACUACAUUCAUUACAGGUACUUGUGCCACUGACCCAUCAUUUGUUCAUUAUAUGGAAAAGUUAUAUGUAUUUUGAUAAAAAAUUUUUAAAGAGAAAUCCCUGAAGUAUAACUAAUGCCUGCUGAGCCACCCUGAGGAGUCAGUGAUUUUUCAGGCAAGUAAAACCAUGCUCAGCUAAGGAGCAGGAGAGAUUGAAUUACAUGAGUAGUAGAGGAAGGAUUUACUGAAAAAGCUGGUAGAAGAUUCUCAAACUAUUAAUGACCAGAAGGAAGGGAAUAUCAAACCAGCAGUACUUCAUGUUCAUCUGGGAAACUUACUCCAUUCUUCUCUGCAGGGAUUUCCAGAGGAUGAGACCCCAGUUCACGGCAAACUGUGCCAUGCACAAUGGACCUGAACUCAGAAUUGCCAGCAAAUACCGACUGUUCUGCUUCUGUGUGUGUAGCUGCAAGAUGGUGUUGGACUGCAUUCAAGCCCCAUGGGACUGUGGUAAUUCCCUUAGAGGAGGACAUCAGGAAGGUUCCUGGGAGGCUCCCGAGAGGCCAUGGACUUGCUGAGCUCCUGUGCCAUUUCUGUAGGACUUGCACAGACAGGCAGCUGGGUCUGCAAGAUUUAAGUAUGACUGCAACAACCUAUUUGAUAAUCCUCUGCUUCUGAAGGGCUGCAGGUAUACAUAGAUAACAGACAGAUCACCUUACCCUCCACCAGUGAGAUCUGGGGCACCGCUGGUCCUUUCAAGGCUGGGUGACAGCCACACUGCUGCACAGCACAUCACCUAGGUGAGAAAACACCUUGGUAGGCCUUCAAUCCAAGGCAGCAGCACCCAGGUGCAAACUGCCUUGAGUAUAAUUCCACCUGAGCUGAACCCGCAAGAGAAAGUUAGCAUUAUCCGUUUCAGUUGCUCCUGCAACUCUGGUGAGUUUGAAAGUUAGGAGCUGCCUUCAAAAUCUGUAUGUGUGCUCUCAGUAUUACCUGUCCACCAAGUGGCCUUUCAGCUUGGAGCAGCACCAUGCAGUACUUUCCCUAUCUGUCUCAUGCCUAUGGUUUUCCACAGGGGACUUUCCCCACUGUGGGGCUACCUUUACCUGCUGCUGAUGAACACAUAAUCUGGAGCUUGGGCUGUCCCCCUGGACAGAGCCUGAGAUCCUCUGGCACAGCCACAGUCCCUCAGUGAGGACAGCUUGAGAAAGACAAGGCUUGAGAAAGACAGGGCACACUGCUGUCCACGAGUAACUGAGGCUUUUGUACCUCAGUCAGGCCCUGCAGAACCCCCCGAGCUGUGGGGAGAGGCUGCAGGAUGCAGGAGCAGAUUUUGUGCUCUCACCCUGUGCUUUGAUGGUUGUGCCUAAUGAGUUAAUCAGCUGCUUUUUGUCGCGCCUGAAAUAUAAAUAACAAACAAGCAAAGGAUGAACUGGUAAAAUAACAACAAACAACCAGAGGAUGAACUGAAAAGAGCAAAACAUUUUCUGCCAUGUGCUCCUUUGACUGCAACAUCAAAGAUCAUAUUAAGAUUUUUGUAGAAGGUUAUUUCUCUGGGUUCCUUAGCUCCAAAAUUAUCAGGAGUGUCAAAAUCCAUUUGCAGGAAGACCUUCUGGGGAGGAGGAUGCUGCUGAAAGGGCAGAGAUGUUUAAUAUUUCACGAAGGGCAUGCACAGACUAACACACAGUUCUCAAAACAUCCUCAUUAAAAUGCUUUAAUUAACAUUGGUUCAAACACUAGCAGACUUGGAGAUUCAUAUGUCUCGGAUACAUUGGGGUGCUGCACACUGCUCAGGUCCCAGUGGGAGCAUCCUUUCCCUCUGCCAUAGGAAAGGAUGCAUCUUGAGCCCCCUCACAAUCUCCUUCUAUCACCCUGUUAAGUUUCCUCAUCUCCAAGGGCCAAUAAAUAUUUUUUGCCCAACCA
ensembl:lncRNA